GGUCACUUUUUAUUAGUUCCUUGCUUCCUCUGGACGACCGAGCCACUCGUGGAAGCUACUAAUCCGUAAGGAGCAACCUAUG
rfam:Vibrio sp. C7 DNA, contig: contig00072, strain: JCM 19233.